AACGUAGGUGACAAACGUUAUCCGGAGUUACUGGGCGUAAAGGGCGUGUAGGCGGUUAGUUAAGUCUGGCGUGAAAGCUCUCGGCUAAACCGGGAGAGGUCGUUGGAUACUGGCUGACUAGAGGACGGUAGAGGCGUGUGGAAUUCCGGGUGUAGUGGUGAAAUGCGUAGAGAUCCGGAGGAACACCAGUGGCGAAGGCGACACGCUGGGCCGUACCUGACGCUAAAGCGCGACAGCAUGGGGAGCAAACGGG
rnacentral:rRNA from 1 species